rnacentral:rRNA from 1 species
GACGAACGCUGGCGGCGUGCUUAACACAUGCAAGUCGAACGGAAAGGCCCUGCUUUUGUGGGGUGCUCGAGUGGCGAACGGGUGAGUAACACGUGAGUAACCUGCCCUUGACUUUGGGAUAACUUCAGGAAACUGGGGCUAAUACCGGAUAGGAGCUCCUGCUGCAUGGUGGGGGUUGGAAAGUUUCGGCGGUUGGGGAUGGACUCGCGGCUUAUCAGCUUGUUGGUGGGGUAGUGGCUUACCAAGGCUUUGACGGGUAGCCGGCCUGAGAGGGUGACCGGCCACAUGGGGACGGAGAUACGGCCCAGACUCCGAGGGGGGGCAGCAGUGGGGAAUAUGGCACAAGGGGGGGAGGCCUGAGGGAGCAACGCCGGGGGCGGGAUGACGGCUUUCGGGUUGAAAACCGCUUUCGCCUGGGACGAAGCGGGAGGGACGGUAAUGGGAAAAGAAGCACCGGCAAACUACGU